GAUGAACGCUGGCGGCGUGCCUAAUACAUGCCAGUCGAGCGAACGGACGAGAAGCUUGCUUCUCUGAUGUUAGCGGCGGACGGGUGAGUAACACGUGGAUAACCUACCUAUAGACUGGGAUAACUUCGGGAAACCGGAGCUAAUACCGGAUAAUAUUUUGAACCGCAUGGUUCAAAAGUGAAAGACGGUCUUGCUGUCACUUAUAGAUGGAUCCGCGCUGCAUUAGCUAGUUGGUAAGGUAACGGCUUACCAAGGCAACGAUGCAUAGCCGACCUGAGAGGGUGAUCGGCCACACUGGAACUGGGACACGGUCCAGACUCCUACGGGAGGCAGCAGUAGGGAAUCUUCCGCAAUGGGCGAAAGCCUGACGGAGCAACGCCGCGUGAGUGAUGAAGGUCUUCGGAUCGUAAAACUCUGUUAUUAGGGAAGAACAUAUGUGUAAGUAACUGUGCACAUCUUGACGGUACCUAAUCAGAAAGCCACGGCUAACUACGUG
rnacentral:rRNA from 1 species